AGUCCACGCCCUAAACGAUGUACACUAGUUGUUGGGGUGCUAGUCAUCUCAGUAAUGCAGCUAACGCAUUAAGUGUACCGCCUGGGGAGUACGGUCGCAAGAUUAAAACUCAAAGGAAUAGACGGGGACCCGCACAAGCGGUGGAGCAUGUGGUUUAAUUCGAAGAUACGCGAAGAACCUUACCUGGGCUUGAUAUCCUAAGAACCUUUUAGAGAUAAGAGGGUGCUAGCUUGCUAGAACUUAGAGACAGGUGCUGCACGGCUGUCGUCAGCUCGUGUCGUGAGAUGUUGGGUUAAGUCCCGCAACGAGCGCAACCCACGUAUUUAGUUGCUAACGGUUCGGCCGAGCACUCUAAAUAGACUGCCUUCGUAAGGAGGAGGAAGGUGUGGACGACGUCAAGUCAUCAUGGCCCUUAUGCCCAGGGCGACACACGUGCUACAAUGGCAUAUACAAUGAGACGCAAUACCGCGAGGUGGAGCAAAUCUAUAAAAUAUGUCCCAGUUCGGAUUGUUCUCUGCAACUCGAGAGCAUGAAGCCGGAAUCGCUAGUAAUCGUAGAUCAGCCAUGCUACGGUGAAUACGUUCCCGGGUCUUGUACUCACCGCCCGUCACACCAUGGGAGUUGAUUUCACUCGAAGCCGGAAUACUAAACUAGUUACCGUCCACAGUGGAAUCAGCGACUGGGGUGAAGUCGUAACAAGGUAACCGUAGGAGAACCUGCGGUUGGAUCACCUCCUUUCUA
rnacentral:rRNA from 1 species